UCACUGAUCACACAAGGCCCACACCAUGGGAUGGAGCUGUAUCAUUCUCUUCCUUGUGUCAGUAACGACAGGUGUCUACUCCCAGGUACAGCUGCAUCAGUCAGGGCCUGAACUGGGGAAACCUGGGACCUCAGUGAAAUUGUCCUGCAAGGCUUCAGGCUAUACUUUCACUAACAACUUUAUGCACUGGGUGAAGCAGAGUCCUGGACAGGGCCUGGAGUGGAUUGGAUGGAUUUAUCCUGGAGAUGGUGACACUAAAUAUAAUCAGAAGUUUCAGGGCAAGGCCACACUGACUGCAGACAAAUCCUCCAGCACAGCCUACAUGGAGCUCAGCAGCCUGACAUCUGAGGACUCUGCAGUCUAUUACUGUGCAAGACACACAUCAGUUGUUGAAACUGUGUCUGUCAUCACUGGAAUACCAUUUGGAUGGAAUCUUUGCAAGCAUUUUGUGUGCUGCCACAAUCUCUGUAGGUUCCUGGGUACAUCAGUACUGUUAUGUGUGGAAGAUGCUUUCGUUAAGACAUCCAUCUGCUCUAACACCUAUAAGCUAUUGAGUUUUUAA